UUUUGCCUACGGGACGCAGCAGUGGGGAAUAUUGCACAAUGGGGGAAACCCUGAUGCAGCGACGCCGCGUGAGUGAAGAAGUAUUUCGGUAUGUAAAGCUCUAUCAGCAGGGAAGAGAAUGACGGUACCUGAGUAAGAAGCCCCGGCUAACUACGUGCUAGCAGCCGCGGUAAUACGUAGGGGGCAAGCGUUAUCCGGAUUUACUGGGUGUAAAGGGAGCGUAGACGGCGAAGAAAGUCUGAAGUGAAAGCCCGCGGCUCACCCGCGGAACUGCUUUGGAAACUUUUUUGCUGGAGUACAGGAGG
rnacentral:rRNA from 1 species